GGGUUUAGCCUGUGCUUUGUGUUUCCUUCCCUAGUCUGGUUGCUGGUUCCUUACUGGGUGAACGUGUGGUUUAGCUCUGCUCAGUUUGCAGGUGUGACAUAAUCUGUUAGUAUGAGCUAUACGGGGAUUUGUGGUAGUCUAGCUGUUUUAAUUGGUUAAUAAAGCACCUUGAGCACACUUCAGUUUUGGGUGGGGUUUGCUCUAAUGAUUUGGAAGCUGGUGGCAAUAAGGUGUAAGGAGUGAAUAGCUAUAUAAUGAGAGGCUCAAACUUUCAUUGGGAUUUGAGUUUUGAUUGGUUAGUGCUUUAUGUUGGAGGGAGUAUUUAUUUGCUGUCCUGGUUGAUGUAGCACGAGACCUUAACUAUUCAUUUCUGGAUGGUGAUUAGAAUGAGAGAAGUGAUCCAGUUCUGCUCUGUGGUGGACUGUUCUGUUGCUGUGUACAUGAAGCGUUUGUCUGCUGGACUGUAAAUGCAGGCUUUGCUUCUGGAGCACAAAGACUGGAGAUGGAGAGAAGGAAAUGCUUUCUGAGGGCCCUGAGGAAAGAACUCAAGAUACACAAAUCAAAGCACUUUGCAAGCAGCUGGACCAGAAGAGAUACUUGGUCACUUCAGACAGAACUUAAGAUGACCCUCCAGUGGUUUGAUGGUCUUGUGAACAUAUGCAGAGAACACGGGACUAGCAAUUUAAAGGAAAGCUUUGCAUUCUUGACACACACUUCUAAGAAACUGCAAGAUGUAUUAAAGGAAGUUGAAAAGAAAAAAGAUUGCAAAAAAGUAAUCUCCAUGUAGUGUAAAGGAAGUACUGAAAGGGCAGCGGAGGAACCAAUAAGACAAUACUUUUUUUACAAUACAUUUUUUGAGGAUCUCUCCAGAAGCAUUUGUACAUAAGGUUUUGGGGGUUUUGCCGCCUCUUCCUUGCCAUACCAGCUUUUGACUAAAUGCUGGUGAGUGCAAUAUUCUGGCAAACCAUCAUUUUCCCCUCCUGAAUUCUAUAAAGAGUGCAUAGACAUUUCUUAAAGUAAAUAACCAUAGCCCCCUAAGAAUGUCUGAAUGAAUUGUCUGAAUGGUAG